rnacentral:rRNA from 1 species
CUCCUACGGGAGGCAGCAGUGAGGAAUAUUGGUCAAUGGGCGAGAGCCUGAACCAGCCAAGUAGCGUGCAGGAAGACGGCCCUAUGGGUUGUAAACCUCUUUUGCGCGGGGACAAAGUUCGCCAUGCGUGGCGUUUUGCGGGUACCGCGCGAAUAAGGACCGGCUAAUUCCGUGCCAGCAGCCGCGGUAAUACGGAAGGUCCUGGCGUUAUCCGGAUUCAUUGGGUUUAAAGGGAGCGCAGGCCGCCUGUUAAGCGUGCCGUGAAAUGUGCCGGCUCAACCGGGGCACUGCGGCGCGAACUGGCGGGCUUGAGUGCGCGGAAGGCGGGCGGAAUUCGUGGUGUAGCGGUGAAAUGCUUAGAUAUCACGAAGAACUCCGAUUGCGAAGGCAGCAUGCCGCAGCAUUACUGACGCUGAUGCUCGAAGGUGCGGGUAUCGAACAGGAUUAGAUACCCUGGUAGUCCGCACAGUAAACGAUGGAUGCCCGCUGUGAGCCUGUUUAAUGGUUUGCGGCCAAGCGAAAGCGUUAAGCAUCCC